GGUUUGAUUCGGCUCAGAUUGAACGCUGGCGGAUGUUUUACACAUGCAAGUCGAACGGCACGGACUUCGGUCUGGUGGCGAGUGGCGAACGGGUGAGUAAUGUAUCGGAACGUGCCUAGUAAGUGGGGAUAACUACGCUGAAAGCGUAGCUAAUACCGCAUACGCCCUCGGGGGAAAGCGGGGACCUUCGGGCCUCGCACUAUUAGAGGCUGAUAUCGAUUAGCUAGUUGGUGGGGUGUAACGGCUCACCAAGGCGACGAUCCGUAGCUGGUUUGAGAGGACGACCAGCCACAUCGCCGGAUCAUACGCCUGACCUACGGAGGCAGUGGGGAAUUUGGACAAUGGGGGAAACCCUGAUCCAGCCAUCCCGCGUGCGAUGAAGGCCUUCGGUUAGAAGAAUGGCAGGAAAGAAACGGCACGGAUAUGGUUUCGUGCAAUUUAUCGCAUCGGUAAUAAGGUCUGUUAACGCCCACGCGCCAGCAGCUGUAAUGUAGGCAAGCGUUAAUCGGAAUUACUGGUAUGUGUGAAGCGCGGUAUGGUUCGGAAAAGAAAGAUGUGAAACUGAGCUUAACUUGAACUGCAUUUUUAACUAAUGAGCUAGAGUGUGUCGAGGGAGGUGGAAUUCGCGUGUAGCAGUGAAAUGCGUAGAUAUGCGGAGGAAUGAUACGGCGAAGGCAGCCUCCUGGGAUAACACUGACGCUCAUGCACGGUGCUGUGGAGCAAACAGGAUUAGACAUCCUGGUAGUCCACGCCCAACAGAUGUCAAACGAUGCCGGGGCCGGCCUGGCAGCGCAGCUAACGCAGUUAACGCCUGGGGAGUACGGUCGCAAGAUUAAAAAUCUCCAAAGAACGAUAUGGACCUGCACAAGCGGUGGAUGAUGUGGAUUAAUUCGAUGCAACGCGAAAACUCACUCACCCUUGCAGAGAAGGUUCAAUCCAAAAGAGAUUUGGGAGUGUCGCAAGAGAACUGAACAUAGAAGCAUGGUUGUCGUCAGCUAAAAUGCAGACAGUUGAACCCAACGAGCGCAACCUCACGCUGAAGUCACGAAAGGGCACUCUGAUUGAGGACUGUUGCGACAAACUGAGGAAGGUGGAUGACGUCAAAGUCCGCGGCCCUUACAUAGUGGAGGGGCUUCACACGUCAUAAGACAAUUAUCGGGACAGAGGUCGCCAACCCGCGAGGGGGAGCCAGCAACUUGUUCCGAUCGUAGUCCGGAUCGGCAGUUCGUAACCUGACUGCGUGAAGUCGGAAUCGCUAGCAAUCGCGGAUCAUGUUUUCACGUGAAUAUUGCCUCGGUCUUGUACACACCGCCUGUCACACUACGGGAGUGGGGUUUUACUCAGAAAGGUUAGCUCAACCGUAUGAGGGCGAUUACCACGGGAGAUUCCAUGACUGGGGUGAAGUCGUAAUAAGGUAAACAGCAUAUGACCUAGGAGCACAUGCACCGAA
rnacentral:rRNA from 1 species